AUACGGAGGAUGCAAGCGUUAUCCGGAUUCAUUGGGUUUAAAGGGUGCGUAGGCGGCUUUUUAAGUCAGUGGUGAAAUCCUGUCGCUCAACGAUAGAAUUGCCAUUGAUACUGAAGAGCUUGAGUUCAGUUGAGGUAAGCGGAAUGUGUAGUGUAGCGGUGAAAUGCUUAGAUAUUACACAGAACACCGAUUGCGAAGGCAGCUUACUAAACUGACACUGACGCUGAUGCACGAAAGCGUGGGGAUC
rnacentral:rRNA from 1 species